rnacentral:rRNA from 1 species
CCUACGGGGGGCAGCAGUGAGGAAUAUUGGUCAAUGGACGAGAGUCUGAACCAGCCAAGUAGCGUGAAGGAUGACUGCCCUAUGGGUUGUAAACUUCUUUUAUAUGGGAAUAAAAUGUUCCACGUGUGGGAUUUUGUAUGUACAAUAUGAAUAAGGAUCGGCUAACUCCGUGCCAGCAGCCGCGGUAAUACGGAGGAUCCGAGCGUUAUCCGGAUUUAUUGGGUUUAAAGGGAGCGUAGGUGGAUUGUUAAGUCAGUUGUGAAAGUUUGCGGCUCAACCGUAAAAUUGCAGUUGAAACUGGCAGUCUUGAGUACAGUAGAGGUGGGCGGAAUUCGUGGUGUAGCGGUGAAAUGCUUAGAUAUCACGAAGAACUCCGAUUGCGAAGGCAGUUCACUGGACUGCAACUGACACUGAGGCUCGAAAGUGUGGGUAUCAAACAGGAUUAGAUACCCGAGUAGUC